rnacentral:snRNA from 1 species
GGAUGUGAGGGUGAUCUGGCUGCGACAUCUGUCACCCCAUUGAUCGCCAGGGUUGAUUCUGCUGAUCUGGCUGGCUAGGCGGGUGUCCCCUUCCUCCCUCACCCUCCAUGUGCGUCCCUCCUGAAGCUGUGCGCUCGGUCAAAGAGGACGACCUUCCCUGAGACAGGCCGGUCUUCGGUCGAGGGUGUACGAGUAGCUGCGCUCCCCUGCUAGAACCUCCAAACAAACUCUCAAACAUGCAAAUAUAUUCCAUGGUAAUUCAAUGUUUUGUUGUUGUUUUUUUUGGCUCACACCCGGCAAUGCACAGGGGAUACUCCUGGCUUUGCACUCAGGAAUUAUUC